rnacentral:rRNA from 1 species
UUAUAUGAGAGUUUGAUCCUGGCUCAGGAUGAACGCCGGCGGUGUGCCUAAUACAUGCAAGUCGAACGCGUUGGCCUAAUUGAUUGAUGGUGCUUGCACCUGAUUGAUUUUGGUCGCCAACGAGUGGCGGACGGGUGAGUAACACGUAGGUAACCUGCCCAGAAGCGGGGGACAACAUUUGGAAACAGAUGCUAAUACCGCAUAACAACGUUGUUCGCAUGAACAACGCUUAAAAGAUGGCUUCUCGCUAUCACUUCUGGAUGGACCUGCGGUGCAUUAGCUUGUUGGUGGGGUAAUGGCCUACCAAGGCGAUGAUGCAUAGCCGAGUUGAGAGACUGAUCGGCCACAAUGGGACUGAGACACGGCCCAUACUCCUACGGGAGGCAGCAGU